rnacentral:tRNA from 1 species
AAUUAUUAAGCUGUAAAUAGCAAGUAACUUGAAAUUACUGAUUAAGAAGUAAAGUCUUCUAAUAAUUU